rnacentral:tRNA from 1 species
GCCUGGCUGGCUCAGUUGGUAGAGUGUGUGACUCUUGAUCCCAGGGUUGUGAGUUCAAGCCCCACGUUAGAUG